GGUUGGUCCCAGUGCAGUGGUGUUUCCAACUAAUUGAUCACAACCAGUUACAGAUUCCUUUGUCCCUUCUCCAAUCCCACUGCUUCACUUGAACAACCUUUA
rnacentral:Y_RNA from 1 species